AGCCUGAUGCAGCCAUGCCGCGUGUGUGAAGAAGGCCUUCGGGUUGUAAAGCACUUUCAGUCAGGAGGAAAGGUUAGUAGUUAAUACCUGCUAGCUGUGACGUUACUGACAGAAGAAGCACCGGCUAACUCCGUGCCAGCAGCCGCGGUAAUACGGAGGGUGCGAGCGUUAAUCGGAAUUACUGGGCGUAAAGCGUACGCAGGCGGUUUGUUAAGCGAGAUGUGAAAGCCCCGGGCUUAACCUGGGAACUGCAUUUCGAACUGGCAAACUAGAGUGUGAUAGAGGGUGGUAGAAUUUCAGGUGUAGCGGUGAAAUGCGUAGAGAUCUGAAGGAAUACCGAUGGCGAAGGCAGCCACCUGGGUCAACACUGACGCUCAUGUACGAAAGCGUGGGGAGCAAACAGGAUUAGAUACCCUGGUAGUCCACGCCGUAAACGAUGUCUACUAGGAGCUGGGGUCUUCGGACAACUUUUCCAAAGCUAACGCAUUAAGUAGACCGCCUGGG
rnacentral:rRNA from 8 species